rnacentral:rRNA from 1 species
UACGUAGGUGGCAAGCGAUACUCGGAAUCACUAGGCGUAAAGCGCAGGUAGGCGGUUUGGUAAGUCUUUUGUGAAAGCUCCCGGCUUAACUGGGAGAGGUCAAGGGAAACUACCGGACUAGAGUGUGGUAGGGGAUACUGGAAUUCCUGGUGUAGCGGUGAAAUGCGUAGAUAUCUGGAGGAAUACCGGUGGCGAAGGCGGCAUCCUGGACCGGCAUUGACGCUGAGGAGCGAAAGCCAGGGGAGCAAACGGG